rnacentral:rRNA from 1 species
GACGAACGCUGGCGGCGUGCUUAACACAUGAAAGUCGAACGAAGUGGCGAACGGGUGAGUAACGCGUAAUCAACCUGCCCUUCAGAGGGGGAUAGCAGUUGGAAACGACUGCUAAUACCGCAUACUGAAGGAGGGGAUUGCGUCUGAUUAGUUAGUUGGGUGGGUAACGGCCCACCAAGGCGAUGAUUAGUAGGCGGUCUUGGGGGGUGAACGGCCACAUUGGGACUGAGGCACGGCCCAGACUCCUACCGGAGGCAGCAGUGGGGAAUCUUCCGCAAUUGACGAAAGUCUGACGGCGCAACGCCGCGUUGGUGAUGACGGCCUUCGGGUUGUAAAGCUCUGUUAAUCGGGACGCGGUACCGGAAUAGAAAGCCACGGCUAACUACGUGCCAGCAGCCGCGGUAAUUC